rnacentral:lncRNA from 1 species
CAAGACAAAACAUCCAACAAUCCAACCAAAAUAACACCACUGCCAAGAACAAGAAAGAAAAAGACAUCCAAACAAAUCAUAACAUGAAGCUCAGGAUUUAAACAAAAAGGGGAAGGGAAAGAGCAGGAGAAGGAAGAAGACAAAAAUGAAAUAUAAUGAUGGAGAGUGAAAAAUACUCUAUUAGAAAAUUAAAUCUUAGAGAAGUCAUUCUCACAAGGAUGCUGAUGAAGACUUGGUUUGAAAUAAAAUGAAGAGCCUGGAAUAAAAUCAGCUGUCCCUAAUCUCAUGUAAGGGAGUAUAACCUGGGAUAAACUAGGUCUUGGUUCCAACAUUGAAACUCAUUCAACCUAGGACUGCAGCACCUGUUCUUAUUGUCUGUGAGUCCUGCCUUGCCUAUAAUAACAUAGAAGAUAGUCUGUAAUGUAAUAUGAUGGGUCAGCCUGUGUCAAUGAUGUGAGG